CCGUGCCCACCCCUCCCUCGGCCGCCAGAGUCAGGCGAGGGUGGGGGGAAGGGCGCCCGCCCAGCUGGGGAGCCAGAAUGGACCUGGGGACUCUCUCCGGAGGAGGGACCCGGCUUCCUCCUAGGCAGGCUCGAGAUGGAGCAGGAGGAGGAGAGGACGCCGCAGAGUUGGGGGGCGCCCAGGUGACCCCAGCCCCGCAGUAUCCCGGCAGGGGUGCGUCGCCAACAGGAUUCAGAGGGGGCCGCGGGUCAGGUCCUGUGGCCGCUGGGGCUAUCCUGGAAAGGGGACCGAGAUGCAGGUAGACGCUUCUCAGAGGCCCCCUCCCCACGCGCCUGUGUGACAGAGACUCCCCAUGGCCGGUGCCCUAGAUGUUUAGAGGAAGUCAUGACAGGCCAACUCCAAAACCUUCCCCCUGGAAAUGUUUCUGACAGACUCCCUCCGCCCCCGGGGGUAUCGCUCAUCUUUAUAGAGAAGGUCACUUUUACCCUGUAAGAACUCUUUACCCUGAUUGCUCCUUAUGAAAACAAGGAAACAAAAAACCCAAGGAGAUUCAGCCAGCAGAGGCACCUUUGGAGCCUGAGCCUGAGCCUCCCAUCAGAAAUGUAGGGCUCACUCUGUCCCAACCCCACCUGCUUCCUGAGGUCAAGCUAUGAGGACCAGACUCUGUCCCUGCCCUUAGGCCCUGAGGCCUGGACAGGUCCUCCCCUGAGAGUCAAAGGAUGGAUUUCAGCCUGUCCUGGGCUGCUCUGUCUUGAGGAGGUGGCUUUUAUACCUCCAGAACUGCAGGCCUGUCUCAAGACCCUGCUCCUGGCAGACUGAUGGUCCUUCCUUUUCAACUCCACCCACUGAGGGACAUCUGCAGGGCCAAGCCUGCCGUAGCCACUCCCUGGAAGCCACCCUCAGACCUCACUGCCCUGAGUGUUCCUUCUACACUCUCAGACUUGGGUCCGGUCUAUCUUGAUGGUCUGUGGACUUCUCUUUUGUCCCGUUGGAAGUCACUAGGGCCUUCCCUGCUUGCAGUCUGUCAAACAUUUCCCUGGGUUGAACUGUGGUCCCAAAGCAGUCUGACCCAGCAGUCCCCAGAUGGUUUCCCUCACCAGCUCCUACUAUGCCCCUACAGCCUAACACUGCCAGAGAAAGGCCAGCACAGUCAUGCUGCCUGGGCCAGUAUCCAAGUAUCUUCCACUCACAUCUCCCUGCACCCACCAUGCCCCAGACAGCCAUCCUUCCUGCCAUGUCCCCUGCAGGGUGGGAGCCAUCCUAAAUGUGCCUGGAGCUUAUCUUCCUGCUGCUCAGAACUCUUACAUGUUGGGGGAAGGGGAUGUUCCAGGGAUGGAAGUGCUUGAAUGCAGUGCUGCUGGCUGAGAUGGGACUGAGCACCCGAGUUGGCGUUCUUACAAAUGACCUGCCUGGCUCCCACCAUGAGCACUGAGCUCAACGUUCCUGUGGACUCCUCCACUCCCGCUUGCUCUGAGCCUGGCCACAAGGGCAUGGAUUACCGCGACUGGGUCCGCCGCAGCUACCUGGAACUGGUCACUUCCAAUCACCACUCGGUGCAGGCUCUGUCCUGGAGGAAGCUCUACCUGAGCAGGGCCAAACUGAAGGCCUCCAGCAGGACCUCAGCCCUCCUCUCUGGUUUUGCCAUGGUAGCCAUGGUGGAGGUGCAGCUGGAGACGCAGUACCAGUACCCGCGGCUGCUGCUCAUUGCCUUCAGCGCCUGUACCACAGUAUUGGUGGCCGUGCACCUGUUUGCUCUGCUCAUCAGCACAUGCAUCCUGCCGAACGUGGAGGCUGUGAGCAACAUCCACAACCUCAACUCCAUCAAUGAGUCGCCGCACGAGCGUAUGCACCCCUACAUUGAGCUGGCCUGGGGCUUCUCCACCGUGCUGGGCAUCCUGCUCUUCCUGGCUGAGGUGGUGCUCCUCUGCUGGAUCAAGUUUCUCCCUGUGGAUGCCAGGCGCCAGCCUGGCCCCGGCAGCCACACAGGCUGGCAGGCCGCCCUCGUGUCCACCAUGAUCAUGGUGCCUGUGGGCCUCAUCUUUGUGGUCUUCACCAUCCACUUCUACCGCUCGCUGGUGCGCCACAAGACAGAGCGCCACAACCGUGAGAUUGAGGAGCUGCACAAGCUCAAGGUGCAGCUAGAUGGGCACGAGCGUAGCCUGCAGGUCGUGUGAGGGGCUGGGGGCCUGUGGUGGGCCUGUGCCUGGGAGUCAGGAGCAAACUGCUUGCAUUUGGGGAGACUCAAAAAUGCAGACUUGCACCCCAGGCUGCUUAGAUACUGCCAGAUAGUUCAAGACCAAAGUUGUACUCCUGUCUUAAUGUAAUAACCCAGAUGAUUUUCCUGAAAAUGUGGAACAUCUGGUAGUUAAACAAGAGGCUCUUCUUGGCUGCCAGGGGCAUGUCUGAUGGCGAUAAGGCAAGGACUGUGGCAGUCACCUGGGAGCAGGAAGGCAGAUUGGUGCUUCUCUUCCCAGCCCUGGGGGAAGUUGAGUGGCCUGGAUUGGUGGGCAGCAGGCAGGAGCUUAGGGCACAAGUCAGUACAGCAUGUGGGAUGGGUGCUGCAGCUGAUGUCAAAGUUGUUAGUCCUUGCAGGAGACUUCCAAGGGUGAGGCCUGGCCAGGGCCAAGGAGGUGCAUCCAUGAGCGGUGCGAGGUGCCCACUGAGGAGGCCAAGUUAGUUGAGGGCACUAAGCUCAAAUUCUUUUCCCAGCCAGCAUGAAGCCCAAGACACAUUGACUCAGUGAGGCCACCAGGUUGGGAAAGGACUCAGUCUAAAAGCCUCCAUCUCUUGGUCAUAGAAUGACCCCUUAGCCUAAGUCAGCUCCCUUUGGGCUCUGUCAGCAGCAGGACUGGGGCCCAGCAGCUGAGCCUUCCCAGCUUGCUGCUGCUUGUAGCCCCAGGUGGCAGGAGGGACAGCUUGGGGGGAACUUCUUAUCUAGACAGGCCAUUGGCUUGGUCUGGCCUGUGGAUAGUGGGUCUAGGAGCCAGCCUAGGCCAAGUGCAGGCCCUCUUUGUUAGGACACCAAGAAACUGCAGGGAUGGCAAGAUCCGAUCCCCCGUGUGCUCCCUUGCUGGGCCCUCCAGGCCUCUGCCAACACAGGAUCCCUAGUUCACACAGUGACUUAGCUGUGCAGUAUGGUUGCAGUGUUUUCACUGAAGUGAUCUGCUAGACCUUCCCCUGUGUUCUCGGGCCCCACAGCACCCUGAGCUGUUACACACCAUGUUGACCCCACUCCCCGCCAGCAACCUGGAGAAGCACUUUUUUUUUUUUUUUGAGACGGAGCCUCAAGCUGUCGCCCUGGGUAGAGUGCCGUGGCAUCACAGCUCACAACAACCUCCAUCUCCUGGGCUCAAGCAAUUCUCUUGCUUCAGCCUCCCAAGUAGCUGGGACUACAGGCACCCGCCACAAUGCCCGGCUAUUUUUUGGUUGCAGCCGUCAUUGUUUGGCAGGCCCAGGGUGGAAUCAAACCUGCCAGCUCAGGUGUAUGUGGCUGGCACCUUAGCCACUUGAGCCACAAGCGCCGAGCUGAGAAGCACAUUUUUGUUCUUAUGGUCAUUGGGCUUUGUUCCGCCCUGAUUACAGUUCUUUUAACAGUUCAAUAUCACUGCAGGGUCUGGGUUGUCUGUGCUGUGGAAUUCCAGGUAGCCUGGGUGAGGUCUCUGGGACAUGAAUGCUGUUGAGAACACAGACGUUAACAUGCAGCUCAGAGAUGUCAAGGGUGAGGCUGAGUCCCACUGUAAGUUUUUAGUACCUAUGGGGAGCCUGGACAUCGUGCCCUGUGGGGCCAGAGAAGACCCCUCCAUCUUUCCAAGGAUAGGUCAUGUCCCCUGCAGACAUUUGUCUGUGACACACUUGCCUUCUAGUGCAUGUCUGUAUUUCCACAGAGCCUUGUUGAAAAGGUUCUGGGGCGGCGCCUGUGGCUCAGUGAGUAGGGCGCCGGCCCCAUAUGCCGAGGGUGGUGGGUUCAAACCCAGCCCCGGCCAAACUGCAACAAAAAAAUAGCCGGGCGUUGUGGCGGGUGCCUGUAGUCCCAGCUACUUGGGAGGUUGAGGCAAGAGAAUCACGUAAGCCCAAGAGUUAGAGGUGCUGUGAGCCGUGUGACGCCACGGCACUCUACCCGAGGGCAGUACAGUGA